CGCGGCCUAUCAGCUUGUUGGUGGAGUAACGGCCCACCAAGGCUUCGACGGGUAGCCGGCCUGAGAGGGUGACCGGCCACACUGGGACUGAGACACGGCCCAGACUCCUACGGGAGGCAGCAGUGGGGAAUAUUGGACAAUGGGCGAAAGCCUGAUCCAGCAACGCCGCGUGAGGGAUGACGGCCUUCGGGUUGUAAACCUCUUUCAGUAGGGACGAAGCGCAAGUGACGGUACCUACAGAAGAAGCACCGGCCAACUACGUGCCAGCAGCCGCGGUAAUACGUAGGGUGCGAGCGUUGUCCGGAAUUAUUGGGCGUAAAGGGCUCGUAGGCGGUUUGUCACGUCGGGAGUGAAAUCUCAGGGCUUAACCCUGAGCCUGCUUCCGAUACGGGCAGACUAGAGGUAUGCAGGGGAGAACGGAAUUCCUGGUGUAGCGGUGAAAUGCGCAGAUAUCAGGAGGAACACCGGUGGCGAAGGCGGUUCUAUGGGCAUUACCUGACGCUGAGGAGCGAAAGUGUGGGGAGCGAACAGGAUUAGAUACCCUGGUAGUCCACACCGUAAACGGUGGGCGCUAGGUGUGGGACUCAUUCCACGAGCUCCGUGCCGCAGCUAACGCAUUAAGCGCCCCGCCUGGGGAGUACGGA
rnacentral:rRNA from 1 species